rnacentral:rRNA from 1 species
AUUGAACGCUGGCGGCAGGCCUAACACAUGCAAGUCGAACGGUAACAGGAAGAAGCUUGCUUCUUUGCUGACGAGUGGCGGACGGGUGAGUAAUGUCUGGGAAACUGCCUGAUGGAGGGGGAUAACUACUGGAAACGGUAGCUAAUACCGCAUAACGUCGCAAGACCAAAGAGGGGGACCUUCGGGCCUCUUGCCAUCGGAUGUGCCCAGAUGGGAUUAGCUAGUAGGUGGGGUAACGGCUCACCUAGGCGACGAUCCCUAGCUGGUCUGAGAGGAUGACCAGCCACACUGGAACUGAGACACGGUCCAGACUCCUACGGGAGGCAGCAGUGGGGAAUAUUGCACAAUGGGCGCAAGCCUGAUGCAGCCAUGCCGCGUGUAUGAAGAAGGCCUUCGGGUUGUAAAGUACUUUCAGCGGGGAAGAAGGGAGUAAAGUUAAUACCUUUGCUCAUUGACGUUACCCGCAGAAGAAGCACCGGCUAACUCCGUG